rnacentral:lncRNA from 1 species
AAGGAGGGUGCUCUGGAUCAUCAUCUUUGGAAUCUGAAUCUCUUACAUGGAGUCCAAACACAUCUAAUUUUUCUGAGAAAGUCCUCUAUAUACCCAAUGUAAAAACAGCUCUGGAAGUAUAGUUUUGGCUUGAUCCCAGGGUCAUUAGUGGAGCAGGCAAUGGCACCCCACUCCAGUGUUCUUGCCUAGAGAAUCCCAGGGACGNNNNNNNNNNNNNNNNNNNNNNNNNNNNNNUUGCACAGAGUUGGACAUGACUGAAGCAACUUAGCAGCAGCAGCAGCAGGGUCAUUAGGCCAGAGCAGGAAAGCAGACAUAGACCCUAAUCACCUAGCAUCUAGAUAGACUGUGUCAGAAUCAGGUUAAAGACUGAUCCCUUAGCAUAAGCCUAGGGAUCAGUUAUGUGCAAAGUGAUUCACUCAUUUGAUUUUAUUCCAUUAAUCCUUAUGACACCAUGAAGUAAAUACUAUUCUCGUCUUUCAGAGGAAAAAAGAGGCUCAGAAAGGUUAAAUAACUUGCUCAAGAUCACACACUUAGUGAGCGGCACACCCAGGAUUGGAAAUAGUCUGAAAGACCAUAGUGUCCAUGCACACCACAUCCUGUAUCUGGGGGUGCUCUGAGAGUGUCUCAGAAUUAGAAAUGGAAAGGGCUGAGCCACAUACCCAGCCUGUUCCAUCUCUAAGUCCACUCUGCCCCAGUUCCUUUCAGCUCAGGUCCACAUCUUGAUUCUACCACUUAUCUCUUUCUUUAUUUAGGUGUGUGGGGGUGGGGAUGCCAUGCAGCCUGUGGGAUCUUAUUAGGUUGGUGCAAAAGUAACUGCGGUUUUUUAUCACUGAACUUUGCCAUUUGAUAUUGGAAUACAUUCUCAAAUAAAUGUGGUUAUGCUAUACGUCACUUUAAUGCACAUAUCUUGCUUUGUGUUUUUUUGUUAAUAACAUUACUUGCUGUUUAUUUCAUGUUUAUUUUAGACUAUAGAUAUCAUGUUAGACCAAAAGCAAAUUCAAGCAAU